UACGGAGGGUGCAAGCGUUAUCCGGAUUCACUGGGUUUAAAGGGUGCGUAGGCGGAUUGCUAAGUCAGGGGUGAAAUCCUGGAGCUCAACUCCAGAACUGCCUUUGAUACUGGUGAUCUUGAGUCCGGGAGAGGUGAGUGGAACUGCAAGUGUAGCGGUGAAAUGCGUAGAGAUGUGGAGGAACACCAGUGGCGAAGGCGACUCUUUGGCCUGUAACUGACGCUGAGGCGCGAAAGCGUGGGGAGCAAACAGG
rnacentral:rRNA from 1 species